rnacentral:lncRNA from 1 species
CCAGGAGUAAUAAGGUCAACGAUGCCCAUCAGAGAGGGCCACUGCAGCCAUCAGUAUUUGUUAUCAAAGAGCCUAUCAACAUCUGGUGGGUGGAUUCUCUGUUUGUAAAUGAUGGGUGCUGAUGAGUUCCUUUCCACAUCUCAAGGUGAACCUCCAUGCCGGAAGCUGGAGAGCCACGGGCAACAUCCAGGACAUGGGUUGUGCUGGGAGGACAUGUGUGAUGACUAUUAUCUGAAAUUUCAGUGGUUUUACUGGAAGGUACCUAAGGAAUAGCCAUAAUAUGUUCUCCAGUGAUUCCUAAACGACCUUUUAA